rnacentral:lncRNA from 1 species
CAGCCUUCACCUACUUCUACAAGGGCGGCCGCUACUGGCAGUUCGACAACCAGCAGCUGCGGGUGGCCCCGGGUUACCCCAAAUCGGUGCUGCGGGACUGGCUGGGCUGCGGGGGCCGCCGGGGGGGCGGCGGCGACGACGACGAGCCCCACGGCGGCGGGGACGACGGGGACGUCACCCCACCGCCGGGCGGUGGCGGUGGCGGCGGUGGGGACACCGAGGUCAUCGUCAUCGAGGUGGGGUCCGGGCCGGGCGCCGUGGCCCUGCCCUUGGCGUUGGUGUUGGCAGCCGGGGGGCUGGCGGUCGGGGCUUUGCUCUGCCGCCGCCGCGGGCCCCCCAAGCGCCUGCUCCACUGCCAGCGCUCCCUGCUGCCGCGCGUCUAGCCACGCCCCCCCUUCUGCCCUCAGCCACGCCCCUCACACCUCCCAGGCCACGCCCUCCCCCCUCCUGCCUCUUCCCCUGCCUCCUUCCUUCCUGCGAUGGGGUUACUGCCCCCCCCUCCCCCGUUGUGGCUGCUCUGCUCCAGGUUGGGAUCCCGGUGGCCACGCCCCCACGAGGAGGCCACGCCCACAAGGGUGGAUACGCCCACCACAAAGGCCACGCCCCCUCCUGCCUCUUCCUUCCUGGGAUGGGGUUGCUGCCCCCCCUGUUGUGGCUGCUCUGCUCCAGGUGGGGGACCCGGUGGCCACACCCCCAGGAGGACACUCCCACAAGGACACGCCCACCUCUCAAAUGGACACGCCCACAUCACAGGCCACACCCCCCCUUCCUGCCCCUUCCCCUGCCCCUUCCCCUGCCUCUUUCCUUCCUGGACUGGGGCUGCCCCCUUGUUGUGGUUGCUUUGCUCCAGGUGGAAGCCCGGUGGCCACGCCCCCAGGAGGCCACUCCCACAAGGACACGCCCCAUAUCAGGCCACGCCCCCCUCCUGCCCCUUCCCCUGCCUCCUUCCUUCUUGGACUGGGGCUGCCCCCUUGUUGUGGUUGCUCUGCUCCAGGUGGGGGACCUGGUGGCCAUGCCCCCACGAGGAGGCCACGCCCCCAUGGAGCCACGUCCACCACCCAGGCCACGCCCCCCCUGCCUCUUCCCCUGCCUCCUUCCUUCCCAGGAUGGGGCUGCUGCCCCGUGUUGUGGUUGCUCUGCUCCCUCCUGGGCAUGGCCCCUCCCACAGCCCUUGGGUGACCCAUGGGAGCCUGGUGGCCACACCCACAAGGGUGUACACGCCCCCUAUGGAGCCACGCCCACAGGGAGACCACACCCACAAGGGUGGACACGCCCCCAAGGUGGCCACACAUCCCCCCAAGGAGGGGGACUGUGGCCAUGGCCACACCCCCCAAGGAGGCCACGCCCCCACCUGGAGCCACACCCGCAAUGGGGGACACGCCCCUGCAUAAGCCACGCCCCCCCUGCCGCAUCCGGGGGGGGGCUCUGCCUGGGUUCCUGGUGGCCACGCCCCCAGGAGGCCCCCUCCCACUUGGAGGCCCCGCCCCCCCUUUGCAGGAAAGCAGGGGGUGGGGCCUGGCUUGGCCCCGCCCUCCCCUUCCUUAUGGUGCUCUGGGCGGGGCCAGUGAGGGGGCCACGCCCCCCCUCCCUGCACCCAUGUGUGAGGGUGGGCGGGGCUUCCCCCUGACCCCGCCCCCUUCCUCCUCCUCCUCCCCCCUGGGAGCCGCGCUGGGCGCACCCAGGUUGGGGGGGAGGGGAGGGGUCAUGACCCCGCCCCCCCGGCCCCGCCUCUGACCUCGCUGGGAAAGGUCAGAGGUCAGCCCCGCCCGCUUGAGGGGGGGGC